UACGUAGGUGACCAGCGUUGUCCGGAUUUACUGGGCGUAAAGAGCGCGCAGGCGGUCGUUCAAGUCGAGUGUGAAAGCCCCCGGCUCAACUGGGGAGGGUCAUUCGAUACUGAUCGACUGGAAGGCAGGAGAGGGAAGCGGAAUUCCCGGUGUAGUGGUGAAAUGCGUAGAUAUCGGGAGGAACACCAGUGGCGAAGGCGGCUUCCUGGCCUGUUCUUGACGCUGAGGCGCGAAAGCUAGGGGAGCAAAUGGG
rnacentral:rRNA from 1 species